UGGGGAAUAUUGCACAAUGGGCGAAAGCCUGACGCAGCAACGCCGCGUGAGUGAUGAAGGCCUUCGGGUUGUAAAGCUCUGUCUUUUGGGACGAUAAUGACGGUACCAAAGGAGGAAGCCACGGCUAACUACGUGCCAGCAGCCGCGGUAAUACGUAGGUGGCAAGCGUUGUCCGGAUUUACUGGGCGUAAAGGAUGCGUAGGCGGAUUUUUAAGUGAGAUGUGAAAACCCUAAGCUUAACUUGGGGACUGCAUUUCAUACUGGAAAUCUAGAGUGCGGGAGAGGAGAAUGGAAUUCCUAGUGUAGCGGUGAAAUGCGUAGAGAUUAGGAAGAACACCAGUGGCGAAGGCGAUUCUCUGGACCGUAACUGACGCUGAGGCAUGAAAGCGUGGGUAGCAAACAGGAUUAGAUACCCUGGUAGUCCACGCCGUAAACGAUGAGUACUAGGUGUAGGAGGUAUCGACCCCUUCUGUGCCGCAGUUAACACAAUAAGUACUCCGCCUGGGAAGUACGAUCGCAAGAUUAAAACUCAAAGGAAUUGACGGGGUCAUAGCUG
rnacentral:rRNA from 1 species